rnacentral:rRNA from 1 species
GACGAACGCUGGCGGCGUGCUUAACACAUGCAAGUCGAACGGUGAAGGGACCAGCUUGCUGGUUCUGGAUGAGUGGCGAACGGGUGAGUAACACGUGAGUAACCUGCCCCCUUCUUCUGGAUAACCGCAUGAAAGUGUGGCUAAUACGGGAUAUUCUGGUUCUGUCGCAUGGCGGGCCCGGGAAAGAUAUUGCUUCGGUGGGGGAUGGGCUCGUGGCCUAUCAGCUUGUUGGUGGGGUGAUGGCCUACCAUGGCGGUGACGGGUAGGCGGCCUGAGGGGGGGCAGGGUGACAAGGGGACUGAGACACGGCCGAGAGUGAUACGGGAGAGAGUAGUAGGGGAGAUAGCAGAGGGGGAGAAAGCAUGAUGGGGCGAAGCCGGGUGCGGGAAGGACGCCUGCGGGAUGAAAACCUCUGGGGCGAGUGACGCAGGCCUGUUUGAUGAGGGGGGAUUGACGGUAGCUGGUAAAGAAGCGCCGGCUAACUACGUG